rnacentral:rRNA from 1 species
UGGGGAAUCUUCCGCAAUGGACGAAAGUCUGACGGAGCAACGCCGCGUGAGUGAAGACGGCCUUCGGGUUGUAAAGCUCUGUGAUUCGGGACGAAAGAGCCUGAGGUGAAUAGCCUAAGGAAGUGACGGUACCGGAAAAGCAAGCCACGGCUAACUACGUGCCAGCAGCCGCGGUAAUACGUAGGUGGCAAGCGUUGUCCGGAAUUAUUGGGCGUAAAGCGCGCGCAGGCGGCUUCCUAAGUACAUCUUAAAAGUGCGGGGCUUAACCCCGUGAAUGGAUGGAAACUGGGAAGAUGGAGUAUCGGAGAGGAAAGUGGAAUUCCUAGUGUAGCGGUGAAAUGCGUAGAGAUUAGGAAGAACACCGGUGGCGAAGGCGACUUUCUGGACGAAAACUGACGCUGAGGCGCGAAAGCGUGGGGAGCAAACAGG